GUCUAUGGCUAUACCACCCUGAACAUCCACCCUGAACAUGAUCUCAGAAGCUAAGCAGAGUCGGGCCUGGUUAGUACCUGGAUGGGAGAAAACAAGUGACAAAAGUC
rnacentral:rRNA from 1 species